GACGAACGCUGGCGGCGUGCCUAACACAUGCAAGUCGAGCGAGAAGUUCCUGUCUAGGUGCGGACGGCGAAGUACCACGUGGUGACUUGCCCUUUUCUACGCUGCCGUCUCGUGAAACUUAACUUAAUAACGUAUAGGCCCUUUCGGGGUAAGAGUUUUCGGAGCAGGGUCGGGCCGCGUUAGAUUCGGUGGUUGGUGGGGUAAUGGCCUACCAAGACCACGAUCCAUAGCUGGUUUGAUAGGAUGAUCAGGAACACUGGGACUGAGACACGGCCCAGACUCCUACGGGAGGCAGCAGUGGGGAAUCUUAGACAAUGGGGGCAACCCUGAUCUAGCCAUGCCGCGUGAGUGAUGAAGGCCUUAGGGUUGUAAAGCUCUUUCAGCUGGGAAGAUAAUGACGGUACCAGCAGAAGAAGCCCCGGCUAACUCCGUG
rnacentral:rRNA from 1 species